rnacentral:tRNA from 1 species
CUCUCCUUGGUGUAGUUGGUUCAUCACGUUCGACUGUAAUGGUUCAUCCCUUGUCAUCGAAAGGUCUCUAGUUCGAUUCUGGAAGGAGAGA